GAGAGUUUGAUCCUGGCUCAGGAUGAACGCUGGCGGCGUGCUUAACACAUGCAAGUCGAGCGAAGCAGUUAAGAAGAUUCUUCGGAUGAUUCCUGACUGACUGAGCGGCGGACGGGUGAGUAACGCGUGGGUGACCUGCCCCAUACCGGGGGAUAACAGCUGGAAACGGCUGCUAAUACCGCAUAAGCGCACAGAGCUGCAUGACUCGGUGUGAAAAACUCCGGUGGUAUGGGAUGGGCCCGCGUCUGAUUAGGCAGUUGGCGGGGUAACGGCCCACCAAACCGACGAUCAGUAGCCGGCCUGAGAGGGCGACCGGCCACAUUGGGACUGAGACACGGCCCAAACUCCUACGGGAGGCAGCAGUGGGGAAUAUUGCACAAUGGGGGAAACCCUGAUGCAGCGACGCCGCGUGAGCGAAGAAGUAUUUCGGUAUGUAAAGCUCUAUCAGCAGGGAAGAUAAUGACGGUACCUGAUUAAGAAGCCCCGGCUAACUACGUGCCAGCAG
rnacentral:rRNA from 1 species